rnacentral:lncRNA from 1 species
GCUUUCUAAACUAGAAGAUAUUCUGUCAUCUAGACCAGAAGUCACUCACAUAAUAGGAAAAACAGAGGAGGUAAAGCUUCAGGCAACUGAUAACACUUGAGGCUCAGGAGGUGGUCAGAGGUGUGAAGCAUAUAAUGAUGGCUCUGAUGAACAAAGCAGCAGCCAUCUUGGACCUAGAGUACAGUGUGCCCAUCAGUAACCCUGCAAACAAAUCGCACAGAUGGAUUUUCUUUCCACAUUUGCCUGAUUUGUUCUCAGUGAUCUAGCUGGAGGGUCUGAUCAAUCCAGGUGUACUGAUGGACAUCUGUUGGUCUAUGUCUAACUUUUUAAAAUUGGUAUAGUAUCUACAGAGUGCACAAUAUGAACUCACCUCAAAGCUUUACAUCCUCAUUUUAACUGUUCUGUAGCAGAAUAAAGCACUCAAAAGGAAGCCAGACUCCUCACACAUGGGUUAUAAGUUUCAGUAUCAAUAACUGGCCUGGAUUUUGAUCCGUUUUAUGAAGAUUUUAUGUUUCGUAUUUUAAAUUCAAAUCCCACGUUGUAAAGUUUGUACGAUUUGUCCUGAAGCUUUGUGUUUGGCUGCACCUGCAUAAGCUGCUACCAAUAGAAUAAAAAAUUUCAUACCCUUUAUGAAACAACUUAGAUGCAUGGAAAAUGGACUUUAUGCAAAAUGGGCUUGGG